rnacentral:ncRNA from 2 species
AUGAACCGCUAGGGGAGCCCUUUUGAAGGGCUGAGAUCGGAGUGUGACUCCGAGACCCUCAGAACCUGAUCUGGUUAACACCAGCGUAGGGAAGUGGUGUAAUGGUCUA